rnacentral:rRNA from 1 species
UCCAUAGGUGGAUAAUUAAGUCAGAGGUGAAAGUCUGCAGCUCAACUGUAGAAUUGCCUUUGAUACUGGUUAUCUUGAAUUAUUGUGAAGUAGUUAGAAUAUGUAGUGUAGCGGUGAAAUGCAUAGAUAUUACAUAGAAUACCAAUUGCGAAGGCAGAUUACUAACAAUCAAUUGACACUGAUGGACGAAAGCGUGGGGAGCGAACAGGAUUAGAUACCCUGGGUAGUCC